rnacentral:misc_RNA from 1 species
CGCAGACCAUGAAUGAGACCUGUUGUGAUUCAUUAAUGGACCACAAUGAAAAUAAAAAUAAACAACUUAGAUACAAAAAAAGGUUUUAUUUCUACUAAACACAUUAUGGAGAAGAGAUAAACAUAAUAAUUGUGUUUGCGGACAAACGAAAAAAAAUCGACUUCAAUUACAUCGACAAGUAAUACAACGUAGAUCGACGAACAAUUAGUCAAAUAACUACGCGUUAUCAAUGAUUACUCAAAAAGUAGUUAUCAGAUCUCGAUAAAAUUUAAAUGUGACCACAUGAUAAACGUCAGGUUUUGAUUAAAUUAAAAAUUAUCUAAAUCGGUACAUCCAGUAAAAAGUUAUUGCGGAUUUUCGAGAGUUUCCCUCGAUUUCUCAGGGAUUCCAUCAUCAUAUCCUGGUUUCCUUAUCAUGGUACUAAACUAGGGAUAUCCCCUUUCCAACAAAAGAAGAAU